AUGUAUUUUAUAUUUAUAUAAUGUGCAUCUGACAAAAUAAUUUUUGUUUAAAAAAAGUGUGGUCAUGCUUGUGUUUGAACCGUGGUCCUUUGGAUUGUGGGGCGAGCUGCCUAUCAGCUGGACCACAGAGUCAUAUGACCAUUCAAUCGUUAAUCAUUUAAAUAGACAUGAUAUUAGUUUAAACUUACUUCAAUAAAUAUUUUAUGUAAAAAUUAUUUUUGGAUUGAUGUAAGUUUCUUAUUUUAAAUGUCCAUCUCAAUAUAGGAAAAUAAUGAAAUAAUAAUGUUUCUUUAAAGUAAUAAUUUUUAUUCCUUUGUUUGAAUCGUCCUUUGUUCAUUAUAAGACACGCCAUUGCGAUCAAAAGCACUGUUAAUACCAAGAAGCAUUUGAAAUUCAAAUUAAUCAAAGUUUAUCUCCAUAGAAGUUAUAUCAAGGUUAAUAACAGAUAUGUGACGGAUCCAGAUCCAUGGAUUUUUGAUUACUCCCUUACUUAGGGCCAUCAGCAUUUAAAUUUCUGUAAUGAAAUAAAGAGUGAAACAUCCAAAAUACGGCGUGUUACAUUAAAA